UGUGGCGCAGUUGGUUAGCGCGCCGCCCUGUCACGGCGGAGGUCGCGGGUUCAAGUCCCGUCA
rnacentral:tRNA from 1 species